AGAUAUUGGCAGAGCAGAUGCUUUUCGUGGUGGGACUCCUUUUUGGUUUGGUGUCCAUGGUUGAGACUUCAAAAGUUUGGAAAUUCAGGUUCAUUAGGUAGCUAUCAUCUAAUGAUGAUUUGGCUUUGGGGAUCCUAUUUUUGGUAAAAUGCUUGCCUUGCAGUGGAACUCCACUGACCGAGAUUGGAAAAAGUUGGAGCACCACAUGUUUUGUUGUCUCUCCUAUGCUUGUGCGCUCCAUUUCAACAUGUGUUUUUUGUAUAGAAGGAUCAUACCUGCAAAUUCACGAAGAAUGGUGAUAUCCACACAUGUGUUUCAAAUGGGUUCUGUUUGUUGAUACGUCAGAAGGUCUAGUCCGUAUCACUGAACUAAAUGACUGGUGCAUCACAUAUGGCCUAAUUUUCAGUAUCAUAAUCAAAGCACCGGUUCAAUGCCAGUGGUAUAUUGCUCAGGGAUGCAGUAGCCAAUAUGUUUGGGGUCUACUUCAAAGCUGGAUGAUGAGGUUUCAACUGUUUCGUUCAGAUUUAAUACCAGGCACUACCCACAGCAAAAUGCUGACAAAAAACAUGGAUUGGAAGCCCUAAUCGUCUAAUCAGAUGGCUUGCUGCAAGAGUUCAAACAUAACUGAAAAAUCUGUGCUCCUGAUGCAGAACAAGUUGGUUGGAUUUGAAACCAGUGUGUUAUGAUCAGGUCUGAAAGGAUAUGAGCACAGGGCAUGCACACAGACCAUGGUUUAACAGUUUGUGUCAGUCAGCAACUGCCCCAAAAGAAGAAAGUGUGUCCUGAAGGCCUGUACGGCUGUACUAAAAUUUGCCUGAUGAUUGUCAAUCGUCUGUCUAUUUGCCAACUUGCAGUCUUACAGAUGGAAAAUUUUAAGAGAAAAAAGCAAGGAAAUGGAGUUCACAUAAGAUGCUUGUAAUCCAACAGUCUGCCAACUGAAGUGACAUGAACGACCAAGUUGUUUGGACAUGUUGAACACAUUUAAUCUGGUCGUUCAAGUACAUUGUGUCAUGGGCAUGAACAACUGUCAGGCUAUAUAUCUCAAUCUGAAGAACCAAAAUCAGAAAUCCAGAUCUUAAAAAGGGACAAACUAAUCACCAAAAAAAUGAUUGAUAUGUAGUUGCAGACUCACUGGCAGAACCGGUCCAGAGUCCAGACAGGUUGGACCCAAUGUUCAUGUGGUCCUCAUGAUGCAUGCUUGACUGCAGGCAGGUCAGUAUGGCAGCACAUUGUGAUACCCUAGAGGGACUAAACACUGAAACUAUUGGUUUCAGCAAGUGCCGAACUGAUGGCCCCAGAGAAAUCUAAUCAAGA
rnacentral:lncRNA from 1 species